GGUGGAGCGAUUUGUCUGGUUAAUUCCGAUAACGAACGAGACUCUAGCCUGCUAAAUAGUUCGUCGAUGGCACUCUGUCGGCGCUAACUUCUUAGAGGGACAAGUGGCGUUCAGUCACACGAGAUUGAGCAAUAACAGGUCUGUGAUGCCCUUAGAUGUUCGGGGCCGCACGCGCGCUACACUGAAAGAAUCAGAGUGCGUUAUACCUAGUUCGGAAGAACCGGGUAACCCAAGUAAAUUCUUUCGUGCUUGGGAUAGGGAAUUGCAAUUAUUUCCCUUAAACGAGGAAUUCCCAGUAAAUGCGGGUCAUAAGCUCGCGUUGAAUACGUCCCUGCCCUUUGUAC
rnacentral:rRNA from 1 species